AGUGAACGCUGGCGGUAGGCCUAACACAUGCAAGUCGAACGAGUGGCGGACGGGUGAGGAAUACAUCGGAAUCUACUCUGUCGAGGGGGAUAACGACGGGAAACUUACGCUAAUACCGCAUACGAUUGGAUGAGCCGAUUUGGGAUUAGCUAGUUGGGGGGGUAAAGGCCCACCAAGGCGACGAUCCGUAGCUGGUCUGAGAGGAUGAUCAGCCACACUGGAACUGAGACACGGUCCAGACUCCUACGGGAGGCAGCAGUGGGGAAUAUUGGACAAUGGGCGCAAGCCUGAUCCAGCCAUGCCGCGUGUGUGAAGAAGGCCUUCGGGUUGUAAAGCCCUUUUGUUGGGAAAGCGGUACCCAAAGAAUAAGCACCGGCUAACUUCGUGCCAGCAGCCGCGGUAAUUC
rnacentral:rRNA from 1 species